rnacentral:misc_RNA from 1 species
CCUAAACCUAGGAUGAGCUUUUGGAUGAAGUAAUUGACUUGGUAGAUACUAUAGCAUGGUUCUCUGAAGAAUGCAAGACUGCAUGCAUUCAAUUAUCAUGAAUGUUUGUAAUGAAUUGGUUUGUUGUGAACCCAUUUUUUGGUCCUUUUGGUAAUGGCAUAAAGAAGCUAAUUUGUUAUGUGUGAAGUAAUUAUGCAGUACCAUUUAAACUUAACUUCAGUUUUAGAUAAAAUUGAGUAACAAUGAUUGUACUUUCUUACCUGCUUUAACUAUUUUGGAGCUCAAUUUGGUUUGGCAAA